GCAAACUUGGUCAUUUAGAGGAAGUAAAAGUCGUAACAAGGUUUCCGUAGGUGAACCUGCGGAAGGAUCAUUAACGAAACAAGUUAGGGGGACUUGGGCUGUCGCUGGCUCUCUGGAGCAUGUGCACGUCCUUUCCCAUCCUUUCACACACCCCAUCGUGCAUCUGUGCGGAUCCGGCUUGUCUGGGUUCGUGUUACUUCAUCCACACCCUUUUGUAAAAAUGUGUAUGGCCUUUUGUGCGCUUGUCUUGAAAAGGACGAGCUUAACCUUAUAAUAUAUACAACUUUCAACAACGGAUCUCUUGGCUCUCGCAUCGAUGAAGAACGCAGC
rnacentral:misc_RNA from 1 species